UUCUCCAAUCCAACCCGCAGAUGUGUGUGUUGGUGGGGGGUGGAACUUUUAUGUUGUGUUUGGUUGAGAGAUUUUAGGAGAGAUUUGGAAAGGGAAAGAGAAAAGGUGUGUGAAAUUAAGUGAAAUGUAGGCAUAUUUUAUUCACAUUUUAUCAAACUUUUCUCUUUUUCUUUUCAAAUCUCUCUUCAAAUUCUCCAAUCAAACACAGCGUUAAGGGGAUACAAAUCAUUGCUCUUAUUAUUAUUAUUAUUAUCAUUAUUAUAAUAAAGAAACCAACCAAUGGUUUCUGAAAAGCAGCCCAUGGUUUUGAAAGAAGUUUAUCCUCACAUGUCUCUCUCAUGUCUCUCUCUUUCUCACAUGUCUCUCUCGUCUCUCAGUUUUUCUACCUCACAUGUGUCUCUCUUGCUCAAGCUUUGCCAUUGAUGACCACAAAUUGAAGUUAAUUGGAGCUCUAUCAACGACGAUCUCAACCUUUAUAUUCGUUAACAACGACGUUGACCUUCAAAUUCAAGCAUUAGCUAAUGCAUUAGCAGCAGCGCAAUAAAUGUGGACUCUUGGAAAUGCAGGCAUGGGAGCAUUGCAGGUUUUUAAUUUCUUGAAACAAAUGAUCUUUUGGAGCCUUCAUAUCUGUCUUCUCUUCUUCUUAACGUCAUAUUGUUAAGUUAAUUUAUUUAUAUAAAUAAUAAUAAUAAUUUAUUGGGAGCACUAACCGGUGUGCAUUUUAA